rnacentral:tRNA from 1 species
CUUUUGAUGGCCGAGAUAGGCGAUAGACUUUUAAUCUAUUUACGAGUUUACUCUCAAGAGU